rnacentral:rRNA from 1 species
AUCAAAAAACGCGAACUCUACAAUAAAUAUUUAGGAAGACUGCCUUUACAUGCCUAUACCUCAGCUUUAGAUGUUUUAUUGAGAGAAAAUAAAUCAAUGAAGCUUUCUAUAACUGUAGAUGGCAAGAAAUACCCAGUUAAAGCGCCGCUCAUUUUCUUUGGAAAUAACCAAUUGCAACUAUGUGAUAUGAAGCUCAGAAUUGCAGAAUGUGCAGCACAGGGAAGAGUCGCUGGAGUUGUAAUUACAAAAAGUGAUAAGCUGAGUUUACUAAAUAUGCUUUGGCAAUGGGUUCAAGGUAAAGUUGAAGAUGCACAAGAUGUAUAUAGUUUUUGUGCUGAUCAUGUCAUUGUUGAUUGUGCAAAGAAAACCAAACUCACAGUGGCCUUAGAUGGAGAAAUCAUAGAGAUGAAACCUCCUUUAAAUUUCACUGUAGAAAAAAAUGCUUUAAAUAUUAUGGUGCCGAAUGUUACUACAUCUGUCUGAUUUACACUUUGGGACAGAAAAAAAAGAGUGUUUAGAGGCAAUAAGAGAUUUUUGUAUUCAGCAACAGCCUGAAGUGAUUGUUGUGAGCGGCGAUAUUACUCAACGCGCCAAAUAUGAACAAUUUUUUAAAUGUCGACAGUAUUUAGAUAGCCUCAAUAUUCCUUAUCUUGUGGUGCCUGGUAACCACGAUAUACCUUUGUAUCAUGUCUGGAACCGUUUUUUUUCUCCAUUUACCCGUUAUAGAUAUUUUUUUGGUGAAUUAGAGCCGACUUUAGAAACUGAACAUUUUUAUAUUGUUGGGGUGAAUAGUAUACGUCGUCGUUAUCAUACGCGUGGGCAUAUUUCGAUUGAACAAAUUCAAGCUACUUAUGAGCGUUUAGACAGGGGACCUAAAAAUAAAAUAAAGCUAGUUGUUUUUCAUCAACCCUUUUAUACGCCCCCUGAUAAUAAGCAUGGAAUAAAAGAUUGUCCGGUUCUGGGUAAAAUCGCUUUAGAAAAGUGGAGUACAACUGGUCUAUUUGGAAUGUUACAUGGGCAUCUCCAUAAAACAGCUAUAUAUGAUUUAACUCAGAUUUAUUCUCUAAAAAUAGAUCAUCCUAUUUUUGAUAUACAUGCAGGUACAGCAACUUCUACUCGCCUAUAUCAUCAUAAUCCAAAUAGCUUUAAUACAAUUUCAAAUGAAGGAAAAAUUCAGCAUUAUUGGUUUAAUUACGAUUUAAAGAUUUUUCAAUUAAUUUAAUUUAUAAAAAUUCUAUAAGACACUUAACUUAUGAGUAGAUUGAUAAAAUUUUAUCCAUUACAAUGCUUAAGCUAAAAAUUCUAUAUAUGGGGAAUAGGAAAACAUUUUAAAUGUUUUAUCAUUUUAAAAAAUAAUAUUAAUGCAUAAAAAGAUUUUUACUAUAUAAAAAGCUGUGCUUUUUAACUAGCUACAAUAUGGAUUUAGUUUUUUAUGUUCUUUCUCUGUACACGACAAAUUUCACAGAACCCUUAUCCUAUCAGGGUUCUGCCUUCUUAAAAUUGCCAAAAUUUCCUUAAACUCUUCUUUUUUCCCAAAACCAAUUAAACGCUGAAUCGCCAUUUGAACAUAGUCUAAACCAUAGCGAAAUAAACUCAUUGAGAGUCGUCCAUGCUUCUUUAUUUUUAUCGCUUUUUUUUGAUCAUGUUGCCAUUCACCCGUUAAGUAACACCAACAGAAGCUUAUAGCUAACACCGCAAUCAAUUUUUUCACUCGUCUAGGGUCUGUCAAGCGCGUAUUUUCAAGAUUAAACCCGCGUCCUUUGAGACAACUGAAUAAGGUUUCAAUUUCCCAGCGUAAUGCAUAAUCCUGAAUAGCAUUGGCAUUAAACUGAGGAGAAACGACGAGUAAAAGCUCUCCAUUUUCUAACUGUAGUGCACUUAUAUAUAGUUUC